GAGGGUAUAGCUCAGUAGUAGAGCACAUGCUUAACAUGCACAAAGUCCUGGGUUCAGUCCUAGUAUCUCCU
rnacentral:tRNA from 1 species